AGUAGAGUCAGCUAAUUGAGCUUUCGGGCCCAUACCCCGAGAAUGUUGGUUUAAACCCUUCCUCUACUA
rnacentral:tRNA from 1 species